rnacentral:rRNA from 1 species
UUCAAGUAUAUAAGGGUGCCGGAUGGAUGGUUAGGCUCUCAAAGGCGAUGAAGGACGUGCUAAGCUGCGAAAAGUCUGGGGGAGGCGCACCGAGCCUGUGAUCCCGGAAUGUCCGAAUGGGGCAACCCACUACAGUGAACCUGUAGUACCACGAAAGUGGAGUCAACCGAGUGAAUUGAAACAUCUUAGUAGCUCGAGGAAAAGAAAUCGAAUGAGAUUCCGUCAGUAGCGGCGAGCGAACGCGGAUCAGCCCAAACCGAGGUGUUUACACCUCGGGGUUGUAGGGCCACCGAUAUGGGACCAACGACGCGAGCAGAAGUACCUGGAAAGGUAUGCCAGAGCGGGUGAUAGCCCCGUACGCGUAGCGAAGUUGGCUCUAGGUGGUACCUGAGUAACGCAAGACUCGUGAAAUCCUGCGUGAAGCUAGGGAGACCACUCUCUAAGGCUACAUACUCUUGAGAGACCGAUAGUGAACGAGUAGCGCGAGCGAACACUGAAAAGUACCCCUGGCGGGGAGUGAAAUAGACCCUGAAACCCGGCACUUACAAGCAGUCGUAGACCUAUGGCCUUUCUUCGGAAAGAGUCCAGGUUGGCGGCGUGCCUUUUGCAUAAUGACCCAGCGACUUACCGUCAGCUGCAAGCCUAAGAUCCUCAGGAUCGGAGGCGGAGCGAAAGCGAGUCUGAAUAGGGCGUCGAGUAGUUGGCGGUAGACCCGAAACUUAGUGAUCUAUCCAUGGGCAGGUUGAAGCGAGGGUAACACCUCGUGGAGGACCGAACUAGUGAACCUUGAGAAGUUCUUGGAUGACCUGUGGAUAGGAGCAAAAGACUAAUCAAACUGAGAGAUAUCUGGUUCUCCUCGAAAUAUAUAUAGGUAUAGGCUCGGGCGUGUAGCGAAUGGGGGUAGAGCACUGAAAGGGCUAGGGGCCUUACCGGGUUACCAACCCCUAUCAAACUCCGAAUACCAUUCGCCGAACCCCGGGGCUCAGACUGUGGGGUCGAAUCUUCAUAGUCGAAAGGGAAAGAGCCCAGACUAGCAGCUAAGGUCCCAAAAUAACGCUCAGUGGUAAAGGAAGUGAUUGUGCUCAGACAGCUGGGAUGUUGGCUUAGAAGCAGCCACCAUUUAAAGAGUGCGUAACAGCUCACCAGUCGAUGCACGAUCGUGCCGAAAAUAAUCGGGGCUUAAGCGUUAUACCGAAGCUCUAGCUAUGCAGUGAUCUGCGGAUCAUCGCAUGGGGUAGAGGAGCGUUGAUGACUGGCUGAAGGGAGACGGAAACGACUCCUGGACUGUCAUCAAGUGAUUAUGCUGGGAUGAGUAACGAUAAAACAGGUGAGAAUCCUGUUCACCGUAAGCCUAAGGUUUCCUCCGCAAGGUAAGUCCGCGGAGGGUGAGGCGGAUCCUAAGGCGAGGCCGAAAGGCGUAGUCGAUGGCCAGCAGGUUAAUAUUCCUGCCCAUCUGGAAGAGUGCCCACGAGGGACGCAUGAGAGUAGCGGGGUGGCACCGUAAGUUGGUCCACUCGGAGCAGCGGCUUACCUGGUUGAAAGAUCAGGUGCACGUUGUUGUUCCGGCAAGAGCCUUGAGCUUUAUAAGCCCGUGAUGAUUGUGCCGAGAAAAGCUCGUCGGGAGAUAACGCUUCUAGAUUCCGUACUAAAACUGACACAGGUAGGCGAGGCGAGUAGCCUCAGGUGCGCGAGAGAACUCUGGUUAAGGAACUCGGCAAAUUAACCCCGUAACUUCGGGAGAAGGGGUGCCGUCUUUGGUGUAAAAGCCUCGGACGGCCGCAGUGAAUAGGCCCAACCGACUGUUUACUAAAAACACAGGACUCUGCAAACACGCAAGUGGACGUAUAGAGUCUGAUGCCUGCCCGGUGCUGGAAGGUCAAACGGAGCGGUUAGACGCAAGUCGAAGCUGUGAAGUCAAGCCCCAGUAAACGGCGGCCGUAACUAUGACGGUCCUAAGGUAGCGAAAUUCCUUGUCGGGUAAGUUCCGACCUGCAUGAAAGGCAUAACGAGUUGGGCACUGUCUCAACCAGAGACUCGGUGAAAUUGCAGUAUGGGCGAAGAUACCCAUUUCCCGCAGCAGGACGAAAAGACCCCGUGAACCUUUACUGCAACCUGAUUCUGUGUUUCUGUGACGCAUACGUAGCAUAGGUGGGAGACGUUGAUCUGCCGGUUCCGGUCGGCAGGGAGUCAUCAGUGAAAUACCACUUUUGCGUCACGGGAAUUCUAACCUGAGGAGUGGAUCCUUGGGGACACAGUUAGGUGGGCAGUUUGGCUGGGGCGGCUUCCUCCCAAAGAGUAACGGAGGAGCACAAAGGUCAGCUCAGUACGGUUGGCAAUCGUACGUGGAGUGCAAAAGCAUAAGCUGGCUUGACUGCGAGACCCAUAAGUCGAGCAGGUGCGAAAGCAGGUUUUAGUGAUCCGGUGAUCCCAUGUGGACGGGUCAUCGCUCAACAGAUAAAAGGUACUCCGGGGAUAACAGGCUGAUUUCGCCCAAGAGUCCCUAUCGACGGCGAAGUUUGGCACCUCGAUGUCGGCUCAUCGCAUCCUGGGGCUGGAGAAGGUCCCAAGGGUAUGGCUGUUCGCCAUUUAAAGCGGUACGCGAGCUGGGUUUAAACCGUCGUGAGACAGGUUGGUCUCUAUCCGCUGUGGGCGCUGGAGAAUUGAGGGGACUUUUCAUUAGUACGAGAGGAUUAUGAAGAACGUAGCUCUGGUGUACCGGUUGUUCCGCUCGGAGCAUCGCCGGGUAGCCACCUACGGACGGGAUAAACGCUGAAAGCAUCUAAGCGUGAAGCCCACCCCAAGAUAAAUUCUCCCUAUGAGAUCCGUGGUAGACUACCACGUUGAUAGGCCAGAGGUCCAAGUACGUAUAUCCAAAGGUACUCAGCUGACUGGUACUAAUCGGUCCAUUGGCUUGAUCGU